rnacentral:rRNA from 1 species
UACGGAGGGUGCAAGCGUUGCUCGGAAUUAUUGGGCGUAAAGCGCACGCAGGCGGCAGGGUAAGUCAGUCGUGAAACUCCCGGGCUUAACUUGGGAACUGCAGCUGAUACUGCCAUGCUUGAGUACGGAAGAGGGGAGCGGAAUUCCCAGUGUAGAGGUGAAAUUCGUAGAUAUUGGGAGGAACACCGGUGGCGAAGGCGGCUCCCUGGUCCGAUACUGACGCUCAUGUGCGAAAGCGUGGGGAGCAAACAGG